rnacentral:misc_RNA from 1 species
CUGAGUGAGGGAGCAAUCCCGACCUCAACCCUUUGAACGCAUCAUGUUGCUUCGGGGGCGACCCUGCCGUUCGCGGCAUUCCCCCCGGAGGUAAUCAAAACACUGCAUUCUUACGUCGGAGUAAAAAGUUAAUUUAAUA